AGCGUAGACGGCAAGGCAAGUCUGAUGUGAAAACCCAGGGCUUAACCCUGGGACUGCAUUGGAGACUGUCUGGCUCGAGUGCCGGAGAGGUAAGCGGAAUUCCUAGUGUAGCGGUGAAAUGCGUAGAUAUUAGGAAGAACACCAGUGGCGAAGGCGGCUUACUGGACGGUAACUGACGUUGAGGCUCGAAAGCGUGGGGAGCAAACA
rnacentral:rRNA from 1 species